GGUAUUGUUGUGUAGUGGUCAGCACGCUCGACGCGUAUUCGAGAGGUCCGUGGUUCGAAUCCCGGCGAGGGCA
rnacentral:tRNA from 1 species